AUGCGCCGAGGGCUAGCAAGCGAGCGCAAAGGAGAAAGAGAGGGAGGGAGGAAGGGAGGCAGCCGGGGGCCGGGCGGGCGGCGGGCGGGCGCCGAGCGCUGCGGAGCUGCCCGUCUGCCUCGGAGCGGAGAAAUCACAUCCAUAUGGCCGGGCCCCCCGCCCCCGGCCCGCCCCCCGUCCCCCCCACCCCACCCCGCGCCGCCUUUUCUUUCUUUUCUUUUUUUUUUUUCUUUUGGGGAACUAGGAGCUGUGGCUUCGCCCCACGCCCAGUGGGGGAGGGGUCGGGGGAGGGGUUGGGGUCGCGGUCUGCGGGGGGCGAACCGGGCUGUUAUUUUUAGCUCCGCGGGCAGCGCAAGGAGGGGAGGUGGGGCGGGGCGGGGGGCGCGUUUCGAGCCGCUCGGGGCGUGCAGCUUAGGGACGCGAUCCCAACUUUGCAACCACAUUUUGAGCCCUUGGGCGAUCGGGCCGCCGGCUCCCUGCCCCUCAGCCCCCUCGGAUCCCCAUCCUGUCCGCCGCCGCCUCCCGCACCCUCUCCCCAUCCUGGGCCGGAGCCCCGCCUGCGCCCGCGCGGCUGAAGCACGCCUGCGGCCGGGACGCUCUGCCUGUCGGCCUGUCUGUCAGUCCGUCUCUAGCUCCCCCAGCCUUGGCCUCCGUUCUUCCAGCAGCCCCGAGCUCCGUUUCGGUCACUCCCUCGCUCCCUCCCUCCCUCCCCCUUCCCUCUCUCUACGAAAACAUUUGCAAGUUUCCAAAAAAGCCACCGAGCCGAGCGGCGCGGGGCCGCCGGCUCCACCGGGCUCCGAGGAGGCGCCGCCGACUGACACCGAGACGGACCAGCCCGCCCGCCCCGGCCAGGCCCGGCGUCACCCCUACCCAACGCCGGCCCCCCUCCCCGAGGCGCCGGCCCCCGACCCCGACUUACUCCGAGCGCGCCGCCGCGGCCCGCGCCUAGCCAUGGAUGUCGGGGACCCCCCGACAGCCUCCCCAGGACAGCGCCCCGUCCGCGGCCCCGGGGGCACUUCAUGGGGCUCUCGGGAUCCCCUCUGGCCGGCCUGGCCUCCAGCGCCCCCCGCCCGGCCGCCGCUCGGAGCCGCCGCCCGCCGCGCGCGUCCCUCGCCU
rnacentral:lncRNA from 1 species